rnacentral:rRNA from 1 species
GACAGAGGCCCCAAGCGUUAGGCGGAAUCACUGGGCUUAAAGCGUGUGUAGGCGGAUCGUUAAGUGUCUUGUGAAAUCCCACGGCUCACCCGUGGAACUGCUGGGCAUACUGGCGAUCUUGGGCCAACUAGGGCAGUCGGAACAAGCGGUGGAGCGGUGAAAUGCGCAGAUAUCAGGAGGAACACCAGUGGCGAAGGCGGUGCUCUGGGCCGGUACUGACGCUGAGGAGCGAAAGCGUGGGGAGCAAACAGG